rnacentral:lncRNA from 1 species
UUUCUGCUCUUUUCCCCAUUCUCAGAAAAAUAAUCCAGCUUCAUUGUAGGGAAAAAAAAAUCACACAGCAGACAAGUCAACAGAAGAAAAUUAAUUUCACAAGAAAUCAGUCCUAAUAACCUCCCUGAAUCAUUUUCUUCUGCAUCUAUCUAAUAGUUACUAUGAAGUACCUAAAACAUAUUAGGCUGUAUCUUUCUAGUAUUUUUCUGAUUCAUUUGUCAUGUAUGUAUAUAGUAAUGUACAUAUUGUUUUUAUACUUGCUUUUUGACACCUAAAUAUGUGUGUGUAUGUUUAUACACACAAUACUCUUUAACUUCAUUUCAUUAAAGAUAAUUUUAAAACAUU